rnacentral:rRNA from 1 species
AACGUGUCGCGAUGGAUGACUUGGCUUCA